AGUUCAUAUCUCAUUAUGUCAUACUCCCAUGUUCACCUUGCACUGCCAAGCACAAUAGUGUAAAUAUCUAGGAUCAAUAUUAUGUUGUUAAUAUCUUUACUAUAUAGUGUAUUAACGCAUCAUUUAGUAUGCGAUUCGAUAAAAUAAAAGUUUAAAUUCUUUGUGUUUGACCUUGAACUUACUAGAAAACUUCUCUUCGCUUGCACUUGGGCAACAGAGGAGAAAACUCGUGCGACAAUGUUUGAUUCUCAUGAUAGCAACGCAUGAAUAUAAAUGCACCUUUAAUUUUAUUGCAUAACCCUUUUUUAGUUGCAUAAUAGUCGUAAACUUAGAACUACUUUUGUUAAACAUACGAGCUUAACUCUUGAGAAAUUAGAACGCAUGAAUAAAAAUUUCAUGACGAUCAGGCGUGGUGUGACAACUUAGUAUCAUAGCGUGAUUUUGGGAAAUCUAGUAGUUUUAUGUGUGAUUUUGGUGGUUAAGUGCUUAAGUUACUUUUGUAGGAAUUAGUAGAAGUAGAAAUGUCGACAAGAAAAGGAAGGGACGCAAGAAGUGGAUCAAGAGCAACAAUUGAGCCUACAAUGGAUUCAGAAGCACAUUCGGUUAACCCUGAUGCGAGAAGAAAGCAAGAGGAAGCAGUUUAUGAUAAGAGUUUCCUAAAUAUUAAUAGAUGUCAUGGCACAACAACUAGAGAAGAAAUUUGGAAUAGAGAGAUUCAAGACAUUAGGAGCUACAAAAUUUAGUGAAACUACAAAGUCAAAAGAAGCUAAAAAGGACAUUAAAGAAGUUAGGAAAGUAGAUUUGGUUGUGUUUUUAUUACAAGAAGAGGUUGAAGAUUGGUAGACCCUAGAAGAGAAUGGGCGAGGAAGAGUUAACUAUGAAAAUUUGAAAGAAAUAUUCAUUGGAAAGUAUUUUUUCGAAACCUAUAGAGACGAGAAGAGAGAUGGAUUUCUCAAUUUGGAAGAAGGAGAACUCUCUAUCACACGACACGAGAAGAAGUUUACAGAGUUAUCUAAAUAUGCAAGAUGAAAUUCACUCUUUCCUUACUUUAGGGUAAGUAAGUGAAUGUUCUCUUAAAUGGUGUCUCCGAGACUUGAGCAAAUGGUCCUACCCUCUCAAUGGCACAAGAGGGGUUUAUAGUUAUUUAGUGGUUGAACCAUAAAUAGGUUGUUCACUAGAUGAACAUUGAUAUUUAAGGACUAGAAGUAACUCAGGGGUAAAAUGAAAAUUGACCCAACUGAUUUACGAACACUUGGGAAGGACUAACUACUAUAGGUCUAUAUCUGUGGACAAAGAAAUAUAUCUAUAGUGAAAAAAGUUUAGUUGUGAGUCUUUAGCCAAUUAAUCUCAUAUCGUUAUAACAUCUUAUCUAAAGGUCUAUUAGACUCUCUUUCUAGCUCGUAAAGGGUAAUGAAAUUUAUUUAUAUUAGUAAUUUGAAAUUUUCAAAUUUACUUUGGGAAUUAGUAUAAUGUACGGUGAUACAUUAUAAUAUAAAGUUCAUAUUUUAAUCAAACUUUAUUAUUAAAUUUAAUUUUGGAUAUAAUUCAAAAUUAAUUUAUGAGAGAUAAAAUAUUUGGAUGAGCUCAAAUAUUAAUUUGAUUUGAAUUGGAUUCGUAUUAAAAUUAUUGGUUAUGAGAGAAAUUUAUAUUGUAAUAUGAUUCAAAUUUAAUUUAAUUUUAAGAUAUUUAAUUUAACUAUUAAUUAAUAGUUUCAUUUAAUUUUAUUUGAUUUAAUUAAAUUAAUUUAAAACUCUAAGAUAUUAGAGGCACAUGAAAUUAAAAAGGAUUAAAAUGAAAUAUUAAUUAAAUCAUAUUUAAUUAAUUAUUAAUUAUUUAAUAUUAAUUAUUUAAUUAGUAGAUUUAAAAAUAAAUUAAUUAGAAUGAGAUUUAAAGGGGUACAACCAUUAUACCAAAUACAAAAUAUAAAUAUAAAGUAGUAUCAUUUAAUAUUUAUUAUAAUUUAACAGUUUAAAAUUAAUAUUAAAAUACAAAAAUCGAGAAUGUGAUACAGACACAUGUCCUUUAGUCCUUUAAUAGAUCUGCCCACAACAGUGGACAAAACUAGAAGAUGGAGAGUUUUGCCGGAGUGAAAUGAAAACACAUGGAAAAAAAAAAGGAAAGAAUCUCUUUUUUGAAUUUGAGAAUAAAUUUACGAUUUAAAGAAACAUUAAAUGUGAUAUAACUUAAUUAGCAACACAAUAAAUUUUAUUUAUUAUUUUAUCUAUUCGCAAUAUCAAUGAAAUGAGUGAGAUGUACCCUAUUUUAUAAAACCUAAAUGUAUAGUAAAAAACUAAACGUGAAAAUUCAUUAUACUUGAAUUAAGUAAAAAUAGUUUUUUUUUUUAAACAAUUUCUCUAAUAAAAAAAAUAAGAAGAAGAAGAACAAUAAAUAAAAAAAUGUAAAGAAUAAAGAAAUAAAAUGUAAAAUGUAAAGAAUAAAGAAACAAAAUGUAUUAGAUUCCUAUAUAUCCGUGAGUCAAUUUUCUUUGAUCAAAUUCCCUAGAAACAUUUUACUGUCGGUCAUUUAAAUUCGUAAAAAUCUAAACCUAAAGAGCAAUUUAUUUCCUUAGCAAUUGUUUGAUCACAAACAAAACAAAUUUUGUGAUUAUUAUAUAUGUGGAGAUGACCUGUUAAUUCCUACCACCUCCAAGCUCCUAAAAUUGAAAAAAAAUAAACAAUAUUUCAUAAAGAAACUGAAACAUAAGAUUACAUGCAAACAUUUUGAACAAUUUAUCUUAAACCCAUCUUCUUAAAUUUAUAAGCAUAAUAUCAUACGAAGAGAAGAACUCAAAAGGCCUUUAACAUUUCAUCCCGUCCUCUAGUUUUGAAGAAUAUGGGUUUGGUUUUUAAGUUAAGUCAAAUUUAUAAUUUCUAGUUUUGUUUUCAAACGUAUCUAGUUAGUCUCAAGUUUUUAAAAUUAAGUUCACGAACUCUCUUGAAUAAUUUCAUACUUUUAUUUUAAGUAAUUAUAUAUGGAUAUAAUUUUAUAAGAGAAAUUUUCAAAAAUAACAAAUUUUACAAAGUAUUUACAAUUUAUAACAAAUUCUAUAUAGUAUUGAUAGGUUAUAAUGAUAAUAUAAUCUAAAAUUUUGCUAUAGCUUGUAAUUAUUUUUAUUUAUUUUAUUAUUUUAAAAAGUCAUACAAAAAAUACUUCAACACCUUUUAAACCUAUUUGAUCAAAUAGAUCUAUUUUUCUUAAUUUGAAAACUAAAAAAAUACAUUUUUAAAACGGGGAAUAAAACCGUGUACUGUUUUAUGGAUGAAAAAGUAUUUUUUUUUUCUUUUUCCUUUUUUAUUUCCAUCCAAAUCAAUUCCAACUAAAUAUUGAAUUAAUACAACACUCCAGAUAUGGAUGGAAUUGUGAGAUAUUUGAGUAUCCACAUUGGAAAAAGACACAAUUUUAUUAUUCCUUACAAGUCUUUUUAUUAUUCGUUUUUUUGGUCCAAAAGUUGACUCCACCUUAAUUCUUUUCUAUUGUGAAAUUGAUCUUCUUUAAGAAGUAUAUGUUGUGUACAUCUACUGUUUGUGAGAAUUUGAGAAAAGCAUAUUAAAAUAAAAUGUAGCAAAUUCUUAGUCUUAAUUAAUCAAAUGUAUUGUUUAGAAAAAUUAUUGAUUCAUGGCUAACACUUCUUAGAUAUUAAUAAUUAAAUGUAUAAGAACAUUUUUAAAAAUUUGUAAAUAUAAAAAAAUUUAUUGAUAAAUAAAUUCUAUCAUUAAUAGAUUUCUAUUAGCUAAGGUUGACAAAGUUUAUCACUAGUUGAAUAGUGUUAAGUCUAAGUUUUAUUAUAUAUAUUAAAUAUAAUUGUUUUGCAUUGUUGGUGUUUGGCCUAAGUACUGCUCCUAUAUUCGAUAUUAAAUUACUCUUGUUGUUAUCUACACUAAUGUAUACAACAAAAGUUAAAAAAAAGAUUCAAUUGGAUAACCCUCGAUCAAAAUGUUUCGAACUUAUCUUCUGUAAGUUAAAAGUAGGACAUCCACAAAGUUGUAUAAAUAUAUACCGUCCAAAUGGGAAAGAGAAGCAUGAGAAGAAGAGCCUUCUAGCUUUCUCCAAAAAUAAGCAAAAAGGAAAGAUAUAGCAAAGAUGAGUUGUGUGGACAAGGGGGAGUGGUCAAAAAUACCUGUUUGUACAACACCAUGUGUUCUUGAUAUAGCAAAUUUUGCAGUGACGGAACACAACAAAGAAACUGGAGAAAAAUUGACACUCAAAAGUGUUAUAAAAGGAUGGUUUUUGGAGUUGGGCGAUGUGAAAUUAAAGUUUCGUUUGUACAUUCUAGCAGCAAACGACAAAGGAGUUGUCCUAACCUAUGAAGCAGUUGUGUGCGUCACAGAAAUAGGUGACUUUAAAAGAGUGAAGAAACUCUUAUCUUUCAAUGUCGGUUAUUUGGAUGAGAAGGAUGUAUUUUGGAUUGUAAUUGUUGAUACUAAAGCGUCUUGUGUGCAAGACGUGGCAAAGUUUGCUGUGGCAAAGCAUAAUGAAGACGAACAUGAUAGUCUUGUCUACCUUUCUAUCACUAAAGGUUGGUAUCGAGAACUUGACCCGUAUAAUGCUAUAUUCUUCGAAAUUCAUCUUACGACGAAGGAUUGUUUUGGACGAGUGCGUGAGUUUAAGGCUUUGGUUCUAGAAGACAAACCUCAAAAGGAGAAAAUCCGAACACUCAAAUAUUUCGAAGUUAUAAAGAAAUGUUGAAAACUUGCUAUCUAUAUGUAAGUGAGAGUGGUUAUGUUAUGUGUUAUGUCUAUGUUCUUGACUAUAUAUCCAUAAAUGAAUAGUCAAGUUUAAACUAAAUAAAACGUUUUAAAUUAUAUGUCACUCUUUAUGCCAAAUUUUAUUAAGGAAGUUGUUUAUAUUAUAACCUAUUAGUUAUUGGGAAUUUAUACGAGAUAUAAAUAAAGUCACUUCAUUAAAAUGAAAAUGUAAUAGAUCGAUGGUAAUAAGAAAUGUGUGGGGUGCCAUUUGAUUGCUUUUAGCAUUGUUUACUUAUGUUCUAUGAUCGUAUUGACACAUGAGGUCACUUCCAACUUAUAAUCAACAAAUGCAAAUUGAUUCACAAAUUAAAGGCAUUCAGUUCAAUUGCACCUAGUAAUUAAGUUGUAUAUUUGUUACUGUGUUUCGGUUACAACUACCAUUAUUGUUAUUGUUUCAGCUGAAAAAUUAUCAAUUUGACAUUUUAAUAUUGUCGUUAUUGUAAUCGCUUUGGAAACCUUAUCCUUUGAAUUCCUAAGUCGUAUAAGAAGUUAAGUAGAGGUUGUUGUUGAUGUGUUGUGUUGUUAACGUAGCUUAAUUGAAGGAUUAAAGGCUUGUUUGAAAUUCAACUAAGUGUUUGGGAGCUAGGGUAACCAACUUAGGUGUUAUGAGAACCUUCAAGAGUAUGAUGACCAAUAGUAGUUUAAGUGGCCAAGUAGAAGAGCCCUGGUGUGAAACUCCGAUCUGCAAAACAACAAGAAUGCAGGAAGUAGUGUAGAUAGGACACAAUUUAGCUUAAAACCUUGCAAUUGAUCUUAUCACCUAACUCAAACUCAACCCCUUUUAAACUACCAAGUGAAAAACAUAACGUAAUGGAAGUCAACAUAAACGUCAAGUACAAUAAUUAACAUAACCAAAACUUACGCUUAUUUAGAAUGAUUUUGACCACAUGGUUAUAUUGGUACAAUAUGUAGUUUAUUGAAAAUGGACUUGAAGGAGAUGCUGAUUCUGGCGGUGAAGAAGAUGAACCGGAGGACACUGAUGGUGUGAAAGUGGAACAUCUCUACACAUUUCAGAUUAUCAAGGUUUUGCACUAAUAACCGAUUGAUUUACUAUAGUGAUGAAGCUACCAAGCAAGUGAUUGAUGUUUGAUUCGUGACAAGACUUGUUGCAAUUUAGUUAUCUAUGACAAUACAUUGCAUUUAGUUUCUUUGUAAAAAUAUAUUACCAAUGUUUAGUUUCUAUUUCACUUGUAUUUAUCCCUUUGGGAAAAUUCGAUAGAUUUAGUGUACUUAGUUUUUUUGUAAAUAUGUUAUCUAUGUUAUUUUUAUAUAUGAAAGUUCUUAUUUAUAUGUGUACUAGUUUUGUGUUAAAAUGGAAUCAUUGGAUAACAGGAAAAAAAUCUAAUUGAAUUACAAUUUUUUUUAUAAAAAAAAUUCAUAACAUAUUUGACGGUUAUAAAAUGUCAUAAACAAGUCCAUCCUUGACGGUUUUUCAAUGUCAUAAACAAUCAAUUUCUUGACGGUUAUUAAAUGUCAUGAAUACUUAUACUCUUGACGAUUUUAAGUUGUCAUAAACAUUCACACUCUUGACGGUUUUUACCUGUCAUGAACAUUUGUAUACUUGACAUUUAUAAAACGUCAACGUUCA
rnacentral:lncRNA from 1 species